GCAGACAUAGUUUAACAUAAAACAUUAGAUUGUGAUUCUAAAAAUGGGGGUGAGACUCCCUCUUUCUGCC
rnacentral:tRNA from 2 species